GAUGAACGCUGGCGGCGUGCCUAAUACAUGCAAGUCGAGCGAACAGACGAGGAGCUUGCUCCUCUGACGUUAGCGGCGGACGGGUGAGUAACACGUGGAUAACCUACCUAUAAGACUGGGAUAACUUCGGGAAACCGGAGCUAAUACCGGAUAAUAUAUUGAACCGCAUGGUUCAAUAGUGAAAGACGGUUUUGCUGUCACUUAUAGAUGGAUCCGCGCCGCAUUAGCUAGUUGGUAAGGUAACGGCUUACCAAGGCAACGAUGCGUAGCCGACCUGAGAGGGUGAGCGGCCACACUGGAAAUGAGACACGGUCCAGAAUCCUACGGGAGGCAGCAGUAGGGAAUCUUCCGCAAUGGGCGAAAGCCUGACGGAGCAACGCCGCGUGAGUGAUGAAGGUCUUCGGAUCGUAAAACUCUGUUAUUAGGGAAGAAAAAAUGUGUAAGUAACUAUGCACGUAUUGACGGUACCUAAUCAGAAAGCCACGGCUAACUACGUG
rnacentral:rRNA from 1 species